rnacentral:rRNA from 1 species
GAAAAGAACUUUGAAAAGAGAGUUAAAUAGUACGUGAAAUUGUUGAAAGGGAAACGAUUAAAGUCAGUCAUGUUGGUNGGGAAUCAANUUGAUGG